GAUCCUGGCUCAGGAUGAACGCUAGCUACAGGCUUAACGCAUGCAAGUCGAGGGGCAGCAUGGUCUUAGCUUGCUAAGGCCGAUGGCGACCGGCGCACGGGUGAGUAACACGUAUCCAACCUGCCGUCUACUCUUGGACAGCCUUUUGAAAGGAAGAUUAAUACAAGAUGGCAUCAUGAGUUCACAUGUUCACAUGAUUAAAGGUAUUCCGGUAGACGAUGGGG
rnacentral:rRNA from 1 species